AUGAUGGGUAUCAUUUACAGCUGAUAUUUUGGCCUUUAUCUGCUCUAACUGUCGGCUAUAUGAAGGGAAAGGUUAGUGAAGAUUUAGGCCGGACAAACAGACAGACUACAGCUGAGCUCUGUUUCUUUAUUCAUCAUCAUUUUUUACACUUUCUGUUUGAAGCACCAAAAUGUAUUCUUUUAAAACUUUAAAGAAGUUUGAGGUCUGAACUACAUGUGGGCUAAAAUGAUUUUGUAAAUAUCAGAUAUUGGAAAAAUCCAACGCUGUGCAUUCCUAAUAUGUGUGUGUUUGUUUUCAAAGGUUUUGGUUUUCAUCUUUACACCAUGAAGCUGCUGACCGUUUCUCUGCUCAUCUGUGUCCUGAUCGCUCUGGCCCAAGCUGCUGGAGGAGAUCAUGGACUGUAUUAUCCAGGAGAAACCAUGGAGGAGCAGGAGGCCGGAGGAAGAGUGGGAGCGAGACUAAGUGGAAGAGAAGGAUUUGGAUUUAGACGUGCAGGAGGAAAGGGAAG